rnacentral:rRNA from 1 species
UACGUAGGCGGCAAGCGUUGUCCGGAUUCAUUGGGUUUAAAGGGUGCGUAGGCGGCCAUUUAAGUCAGUGCUGAAAUAUCACAGCUUAACUGUGAGGGUGGCAUUGAUACUGGGUGGCUUGAGUGCUAGCGAGGCAGGCGGAAUUGACGGUGUAGCGGUGAAAUGCUUAGAUAUCGUCAAGAACACCGAUAGUGUAGACAGCUUGCCGGGGAGCAACUGACGCUGAGGCACGAAAGUGUGGGGAUCAAACAGG